GCAUUCUUCAGCAGCACAUAUACUAAAAUUGGAAUAAUACAGAGAAGAUUAGCAUGAUUCCUAUGCAAGGAUGACACACAAAUUCAUGAAGCAUACCAUAUUUUU
rnacentral:snRNA from 1 species